CAACCUGCCGCUUACUCGGGGAUAGCCUUUCGAAAGAAAGAUUAAUACCCGAUGGUAUAAAGAGUUCGCAUGUUCUCUUUAUUAAAGAAUUUCGGUAAGCGAUGGGGAUGCGUUCCAUUAGAUUGUUGGCGGGGUAACGGCCCACCAAGUCUACGAUGGAUAGGGGUUCUGAGAGGAAGGUCCCCCACAUUGGAACUGAGACACGGUCCAAACUCCUACGGGAGGCAGCAGUGAGGAAUAUUGGUCAAUGGACGAGAGUCUGAACCAGCCAAGUAGCGUGAAGGAUGACUGCCCUAUGGGUUGUAAACUUCUUUUAUAAGGGAAUAAAGUGAGGGACGUGUCCCUUUUUGUAUGUACCUUAUGAAUAAGGAUCGGCUAACUCCGUGCCAGCAGCCGCGGUAAUACGGAGGAUCCGAGCGUUAUCCGGAUUUAUUGGGUUUAAAGGGAGCGUAGGUUGACAUAUAAGUCAGCUGUGAAAGUUUACGGCUCAACCGUGAAAUUGCAGUUGAUACUGUAUGUCUUGAGUGUACAAGAGGUGGGCGGAAUUCGUGGUGUAGCGGUGAAAUGCUUAGAUAUCACGAAGAACUCCGAUUG
rnacentral:rRNA from 1 species